rnacentral:rRNA from 1 species
AUUGAACGCUGGCGGCAGGCCUAACACAUGCAAGUCGAGCGAGCGGCGGACGGGUGAGUAAUGUAUGGGGACUGCCCGAUAGAGGGGGAUAACUACUGGAAACGGUGGCUAAUACCGCAUACUAUCGGAUAACCCAUAUGGGAUUAGCUCGUAGGGGGGGUAAAGGCUCACCUAGGCGACGAUCUCUAGCUGGUCUGAGAGGAUGAUAAGCCACAAUGAAACUAAGAAAGCGCCAAAACACAUCGGGAGGCAGCAGUGGGGAAUAUUGCACAAUGGAGGAAAGCCUGAUGCAGCCAUGCCGCGUGUAUGAAGAAGGCCUUAGGGUUGUAAAGUACUUUCAGCGGGGAGGCGUUACCCGCAGAAGAAGCACCGGCUAACUCCGUGCCAGCAGCCGCGGUAAUUC